UUUUGAGAUGGAGUUUCGCUCUGUCACCGAGGCUGGAGUGCAGUGGCACAAUCUCGGCUGGGUGACAGUGAGACUCUGUUUCAAAAAAAAACAAACACACACACACACACAAAUACUUCACUGUUAAUACAAAUAAUCUAGUCAAGUAAACCGUACUCCAUUUUGGAUAAAAACAGAGAAGAACUCCUCCAUGUGGUUGUUGGAAGGGUCUUUAAAGGAAUCAAAUAUUCUCACAUUUUUCUCUUUAAAAGCACUUUUAACAAAUCUUCAAAUCAAUAAAAUAUACAAUGGCUUAACUGGGCAAGAUCUAAUGCCCCAAGAUCUCAUGAGGCACUCAACUAGGGCUUCCCAGACAGUGAGAAGCACAGAGCCUGGAAGGGCUCACAGGUAAGCUAAGCUACGGUUGGAAGGUGGAGGUAGGCAGCUCAGACAGCUGGCUCCACGAACCUCCACCCCAUUACCUCGUGCACUGUAAACUUUUCUGCUGUUUUUUACCUGUGCCA
rnacentral:lncRNA from 1 species